UAGGGAAUCUUCCGCAAUGGACGAAAGUCUGACGGAGCAACGCCGCGUGAGUGAAGAAGGAUUUCGGUUCGUAAAACUCUGUUGUUAGGGAAGAAAAAAUGUAUAGUAACUAUAUACAAAAGAGACGGUACCUAACCAGAAAGCCACGGCUAACUACGUGCCAGCAGCCGCGGUAAUACGUAGGUGGCAAGCGUUGUCCGGAAUUAUUGGGCGUAAAGCGCGCGCAGGUGGUUUAGAAAGUCUGAUGUGAAAGCCCACGGCUCAACCGUGGAGGGUCAUUGGAAACUAAUAAACUUGAGUGCAGGAGAGAAAAGUGGAAUUCCUAGUGUAGCGGUGAAAUGCGUAGAGAUUAGGAGGAACACCGGUGGCGAAAGCGGCUUUUUGGCCUGCAACUGACACUGAGGCGCGAAAGCGUGGGGAGCAAACAG
rnacentral:rRNA from 1 species